UACGUUGAAUUUAAAAUUAUCUACUUGGAAAAUUUAAAUUUAUUGGUUACAUUUUACAUUCUGUGAUAUUUAUUUUAUGUGGAGUUCUGGGUUCGAGUCCUGGGUAAGGCAUGGGUGUUAAUUUACAGUAAGAGAUAUGAUUGCUACGAAAUGAUAAAUAUUGGAAUGAUUUAGUUCUGGUUGUGGGCGAAAGCCGUUAACCAAAAAUAUUUAAAAAAAAAAAAAAAAAAAAAAAAUUAUGUGGACGUUAAGUAUGUUGUAUGAAAUGUUAUUUAAUUUUCUGUGUAUUUAUAUGCUACUGCAUAGUAAUGAUGUAGAGUCAGAACUUGGUUAGUUUAUUUUUCUACAGAUGAACUCCUAUUAUCCAGAAUUCUCUGCAACACACAUCCAACCUAAGCAUAGGGUCUGUCUGAAAUUUAUUUAUUGUAGCACCAUGCUUGUGUAGCCGUGUAAAGUAAGUAAAGAAGUACCAGCCAACAGUAAGUGUUACUCUAGGUGGCCAACUUGGCUCCAGCGUGGUUAAAACAAGGUUUUAGUCUGGGUAUCACUCCAAAGAGUAGGUAUUAAGGCACGUGGCACGCCUACUGCACACAGGCAUGCAUAGCUUCAGAAGAAACCACACUGUUUGAAAACUGCUCAAGAUAUCAGUGCUGUCUGUUUACGAAAGCAUUUUAAAAAAUGCCGGGGGGUGGAUGAGUAGUUCUGUUUCCGUAUUUUGUUUUUAAACUGUAAUUUUAGGAGAGUGUAAAUAGCUAAUGUGUUUUUAUAAUAAUUUUUAGACAUGAAAUCCCCGGUAAAGAUUCUUGAAAUCACCCAAGGGCCUUGCAACACCUUUAUCUUCAUUUCUCAUAUAUAACAUGUAUUGUUACGAUCACUGCUUAUAUUUCAUAGUUGCCCCAGUGUACGAUGAGAAGACUGCGUGCCAGUUCAGAGCCUUGCGCUUAGAAGCACCAGCGAGCAUUGCACCAUCCCGCCUCACUAACACAGAUACACCUCGGCCUAGGCGGACCCCUUGAGGUAAGCAAGGAGCAACGGAGGUGAAGCAAUAAUAGGCAACGCAUUGGAGAUUCUUCAAGACCUGGACGAACUGUAAGCAAACUCUUCAGUUGGCGCCCGUGGCAAUGUUCCACCAACUGUCUCGACGAUCCACACAAUUGUAGGCACCAGGUGUAGUGUUGUCACCCAGCCAGGCAGUCUUAUUACUGUUCAUAUGGGCUGUAAGUCAGCAACUAAAAACAGUUUGUAAAAAUUAAAAUGCACACAAACCCUUUUUUUCUAGAAUUAUUUCUACUGGAUUAAAAUUUAAAAACCACCCAUGAAAAAAGCAAUAAAACAUUAAUAACUACAUUCUUCUUAUGUAUGGGUUCAUCUUCAACUCAUUAAACAUUGUCACUGAUAAUGCAAAACCCUUUUAUGUCAAAACUUUUAGAUUUACCAGUGGUACAAAAAACUGUCUGUAAUACAAAUACAUGGAUAGGAAAUUUUAUAUUUUGCUUUAAUUCAUAGUCAUAAAACAAAAGGUUAUUAUAAUUAAUAGUUUACUGCAGUGGUUGAGGAAAGUCUUGCUGGUUUUUGUAGGCUAAAAGUGGGAAAAAUGUCAAAUCUUACACGCUAGGUUUUGCAUCUACAAUUUAUUCAUUUGAAUUUGUGACAUGUCUACCAGCAAUUGAGUACUCAAAAGAAAGGUACAAACCAACCACAAAAUUAACCAAGGACACAAGGACAUGAUUAAUGUAAAAUACAAUAACAGCAAAUAAUACCCACACUAGACAUCAUAACAUGUUUACAACUUACUAACUCAUGUAUUUAUAUUUAAUUAACAGAAAGUUAAACUUUUGAUAUGUAACAUCUUAGCUCUUGGUACACGGCAUAAGUAAUUUUUUUAAUGGAAGGGAAAUGUAACCACGGUGCUGCCAUCUGUGGCAGAUGGUGCGAACCAAAAUGUUCACAAAGCCAAAGGGAAAAAUUAGAGUAUUAACUUUUUAAGGAAUUUAACAAGAUGGGCAGUAUUUUAAUAAAAUUCCUUGUCGAAAAUCAGGUGCAAAGUCAGGUUUUAGUAUUUUUUCAAAUAUUUUUUAAGUUUUAUUGAAGCCAUUUCAUUAUGUAUAGUUUUAAAAUUUCUAGCGGUGGGUGCGGAAACCACAGUUUACACAGACAAAGGUAAACAUUAUAGUAUUAACUGUUAAGUGAAUUUUAACUAGAUAGGAAGUAUUUUAAUAAAAUUCCUUUUGUUAAAAUUCAGGUCCAAAACAGAGGUUUAGUAUUUUUAAAAGGUUUUUUUUUUUUUCACUUUUAUCGAGCCAUUUAGUCAUAAUAUGUAGUUUAACAUUUUGGUCUGCUAAUCAAACGUUUUGAUAGUCAACCUAGCUGCUCUGGCAAUGAUAUAUAGCAGCAGGUGUGACAACUACGUGUGAUUCACGCCAGGAAACGUAGUUGAAAACAUAAUUUGCGUAUUACACGUAAAACUCGUCUAUCCGGACUAACUGGGACCAAAAAGCAAUCUGGCAUAAUGAAAAUCAAGAUAAUCAGGUUGUAUGAGUAAUAAGAUAAUAAAAAUCCUUUAAAUAAGCAGACUUACUGUUUAUUACGAUAAAAAUCUUAGUUUCGUAACAAAAACACCUCGUAUACAUGUCAUAUAUUGUUUACAAGACAUUAAAAAAAUAUGAAAAUAACUUUUCACAUCAUUUCUUAAUAGAAAAUUGGUCUACUCUCUUCUGUUCGAAACUUGUGUGGUAGCAGUGAAGCAAAGUGACACAAAUUCUUUAUCAGUAGUUCAGCUAUGCUGUUUGUCAUGUAGUGCACUUUCUUAAACUCAAUAAGAAGCUUUUUAUUACCAUAACUCUACCAUGCAUGCAGGAACUGUACAUUGAAUCAAACUAAAAUAGUGAAUAUUUGGCUAACUUCUCGCUAACGUAAAAAAAUUGUAUGUGAACAUUGGAUAAAAUGUCUACAAACCUCAUCCAGAUUGUCUAGAGAUCAGAAUCAACGAGAGCCGGAUAAACUAGGUUUAACUGUACUUACCGCACUCAGCAUUAUUUUAAUAAUUUUGUGUAUGUGUUUCGUAUUAUAAGUGUAUUUGCAACAUGAGAACACAUGAAUUUGUUGCUCCUUACCGAGAUUAGAUGUUACACAUCUGUGGCGAGUACUGAAAGAUUCAUUCACAAAAUUCUUACCUUUUUAUCUAGUGAGGAAAAAUAAUUAUUAAAUUAAUUUAAAUGUGUAAUGAGGCCAUGUAAAAUAUUUAUAUUAUAGUUUAAAAAUUUUUAAUAAUUGUUUCUGAUGACUGUUGACAGGUGGAACUCUAAUGCCAAUGGUUUCAUUUAAAUACUUACAAUCAGGUUAUAUUUGAUAUGAAUUUUUUUAGGGUCAAUUGUGUUUUUUAACUUAGAUAAUAAGUUAAGUUGAUUGUGAAUGUUAUAAUAAUUAAAUGAUUUUGUUAAAUAUUCAAUGUUGGACUCUGUAAUAUAGAUGCACCAGAAUGGCACACUUUUAAAGUGACAACAGCGGGAUUGGCAGCCCUUACCAAGGGACUCCUGCUGGGCCGUGCCUCGAGGUAAGAAGUGUCAAGCCACGUCAGAGCUAACGGUCCCAGCCAGGGUGACUGGCCCGUCUCUUUUUCUUUCCUUCUGGCCAAUGGGGCUGGAGCUUAGGCUUGUUGGAGCGAGGGAGCUCCAGACCACUGAGCGGGACUCCUCGUGGGACAUGUGAAAGAAAGACAGGAGUCUGAUUCCUGCCACAAGGACACAUGGAUGUGGACGAAAGAAAUAAGUUUCCGAACUUCGAAGGGUCUGCACCCAUUAGUGUUUUAUUUGGUCCUGGGGGAAUGGAAACAUCAACACCAACCCCAGACUAUUGUAUCGGUCUUUGGUGCGCACAAGUGUUAAAAUACUGAAUCAAAGUCCGUUCGUUAUUUUCAUUUCAGUUACCAAUUGCUUAUUAGUAAUUGAUAUGCUCCAUUCUUCGUAAGUUUAACCACGUGCAGUGAAAUUUAACAAGAGGCUAUAUUUUAAUUUAAUUGUUUUAUUUAUUGCUGAUCUUGCAAAAGUUGUCUUGUGUUGUUUAUCUCGAGUCUAGCCAAAGAAGUAACAUAAAAUUAGUUUAAAACACGGCACAUAAACUUCAGCAAGAAGAACAGGUUCCACUGUUACAAACGAAAAAUUGAAUUUAAUAUUUCUCUUCUUGUUGGCAAAAGACCUCUGAAGAGAGUGUAAAUCUACACCAUUAUUGUUAUACUUAUUCUGGCCUAUAAUUUGGGUUAGUUCUAGUUUCAAUUUUAGUAAUGUUGUCAUCAUUUAUCAGUUCCAUUAAUUAUGUUCCAGAUAAUAUAGCCAUAUUCAAGUUUAGAUCCAACCAAAGCUAUACAGAGAGAAAGUAUGUAAUCUAUAUUGUAGUAAAACCUCAUUAAUAAAAACCCUGUUAACACCAAA